rnacentral:rRNA from 1 species
AACGAACGCUGGCGGCAGGCUUAACACAUGCAAGUCGAGCGCCCCGCAAGGGGAGCGGCAGACGGGUGAGUAACGCGUGGGAAUCUACCCAUCUCUACGGAAUAACGCAUGGAAACGUGUGCUAAUACCGUAUACGUCCUUCGGGAGAAAGAUUUAUCGGAGAUGGAUGAGCCCGCGUUGGAUUAGCUAGUUGGGGGGGUAAAGGCCUACCAAGGCGACGAUCCAUAGCUGGUCUGAGAGGAUGCUCAGCCACACUGGGACUGAGACACGGCCCAGUCUCCUACGGGAGGCAGCAGUGGGGGAUAUUGGACAAUGGGCGCAAGCCUGAUCCAGCCAUGCCGCGUGAGUGAUGAAGGCCCUAGGGUUGUAAAGCUCUUUCACCGGUGAAGAUAAUGACGGUAACCGGAGAAGAAGCCCCGGCUAACUUCGUGCCAGCCGCCGCCGUAAUAC